CAUGGCGACAGAGGCUGCGGUGGUAGAUCAGAGGAGGAAUACUGCAGCAGCAGUCGAUGGGGCCCGCCGGGCCCUGGGCAACUUCUAGUCUCCGACGUUACUUGGCGUCUCUCUUCAGCUGGUCGGAUGAGACGGUCUAGAGUUCUGUGCAGGGGCUGAAGUGCUGAAGUGACACUAAUACUGAACACAGGUAAUCAAAGGUACUGAGGCGCCAAGAGCUCGGCC